AGUCCAUCCCGAGCGGCCGAGAGAUCUGGCUCGACGACGCCGCAGCAACCACCCGACUCGGGCAGGUGCUACAGCCAGGAACGAUGGAGU
rnacentral:ncRNA from 2 species